rnacentral:rRNA from 1 species
AGUGAACGCUGGCGGUAGGCCUAACACAUGCAAGUCGAACGGCAGCACAGUAAGAGCUUGCUCUUACGGGUGGCGAGUGGCGGACGGGUGAGGAAUACAUCAGAAUCUACUUUUUCGUGGGGGAUAACGUAGGGAAACUUACGCUAAUACCGCAUACGACCUACGGGUGAAAGCAGGGGAUCUUCGGACCUUGCGCGAUUGAAUGAGCCGAUGUCGGAUUAGCUAGUUGGCGGGGUAAAGGCCCACCAAGGCGACGAUCCGUAGCUGGUCUGAGAGGAUGAUCAGCCUCACUGGAACUGAGACACGGUCCAGACUCCUACGGGAGGCAGCAGUGGGGAAUAUUGGACAAUGGGCGCAAGCCUGAUCCAGCCAUACCGCGUGGGUGAAGAAGGCCUUCGGGUUGUAAAGCCCUUUUGUUGGGAAAGAAAAGCAGCAGGUUAAUACCCCGCUGUUCUGACGGUACCCAAAGAAUAAGCACCGGCUAACUUCGUG